CAGGGAAGAGGAAACCAGGGCCCCCAGGGAGAUGCCGGCACUGGGGUGGAAAGGGGACCAUUCUGGAAGGCAGACGACCCAAGUCUCCAUUCCUGUGGGGCUCCCUGAGGACAGUGAUGCCACCAACAGAAACACAGGAGUCUCCGUAGCUGGCAGAGGGGCGAGACGAGGGGGAAAGGGUCACAAUGAGAUGAAAAAUCGCUGAAGGGAGGAUGCAGGAAGUAGGUGGACAGCCAGGGGUUCCAAGACCAGAGGGGCUACCCUACCAGAGAGAUGGAUACUGCAGAGAAGAGGAGACUGGCUCCCCAAAAAGAAAGGAAGUGACACCCCGCACAGACACGCGGGCAAAACCCCACAGUCAGAAGUUGUCCCACCCACUAGGGAGGGGCCCCCCCUGUCCAGUGGCUCCUCCAACCCCCAGAGGCGGGAAGAUGAAAAUCAGGAGACCAUUCCAACAACUAAGAUGGGCCCUGACGCCAACGUCCAGGAAAAGGGGGCUCCCGGGACUCCAGAAGCAAUGUCCCUCUGCCAAGUGGCCCCUCGGAUGGCCAAGGGAGGAGCCCGAU